rnacentral:rRNA from 1 species
UACGUAGGGCGCAAGCGUUAUCCGGAAUUAUUGGGCGUAAAGAGCUCGUAGGCGGUUUGUCGCGUCUGCCGUGAAAGUCCGGGGCUCAACUCCGGAUCUGCGGUGGUACGGGCAGACUAGAGUGCAGUAGGGGAGACUGGAAUUCCUGGUGUAGCGGUGAAAUGCGCAGAUAUCAGGAGGAACACCGAUGGCGAAGGCAGGUCUCUGGGCUGUAACUGACGCUGAGGAGCGAAAGCAUGGGGAGCGAACAGG